rnacentral:tRNA from 1 species
GGAGAGGUGGCCGAGUGGUUGAAGGCGCACGACUCGAAAUCGUGUAAACCCUUACGGGUUUCGAGGGUUCAAAUCCCUCUCUCUCCG